GAGUGGCAUCUCACAGAAAGCCAGAGGGGAGGACGUGGGGCUAUCAGUCCAACUCCUCAGUUAAUAGCCAGGGAAACAGAAGCCCAGGGAGAUAAAGACGGUGGCAGAGGAGGAAUUCUUUCUUAGCAGAUCUUCCAUUCCUAAUCCAGGAUCAUUUCCAGGGCUCCCAGGUUCUCAAGAUGCUUGAAUCCUGGGACAAACACAGAGGAAGGAGCUCCUAAGGAUGGGGGCAGUGGUGAGGAAACAGGCCACUGAGACAGUGAUGGUGUUUGUAGGCAAAGAAGCUACUUGUAUUUGCCAACCACACCAGGAGGCCAGGUUAGGAGUUUCAAAACAAGUUUGCUGCCAAGAAAAACACACAAAAACCCAUAGAUUCAUGCUCUGUAAAUCUCAAGAAGCAACUCUGUCCCAUCCCCAGUCAUGCCCUACACUGGGUCUGUCUUAGAAUUCUAUGUGCAAACUGGCCCCUGCUACUUAUGACACCCCCGAGGGCCUGGCUUUCAUUCAUCCUCCUAUCCAAUCACUAUCUGGUCCCCAGGGUAAAGUGCAGUAUCUAUACCCAGAGUCACAGCCUGCAGAGCCUCUGGGAGAAGCCGGCCACCAGGAUGCUCUUCCCAGUGACGUAGCUGGCAUCUGUAGAGUGCAGGAAGGACAUGGUUCCUGCACAGUCCUCUUAACCCCUGCAUGGAAAGAGAACAGAACUGAGGCCUCAGCCUAUGCUCUAAUGAACUCUGAUCGCUGGUCCUGCUGCUCUGAACAUAGGGCCCAGCACCACCUCCAGCCCUGAAUCCCACCUCCCUGGCCCAUCAGAGGCCUGGGCUCCAUAGAGAGAUAUGGUGGGGCCCCUCAUGCCCUCCAGAUCCCACCUCAUGGGCUGUGCAUCCCCAGACUCUGUGAGAGGACGGGCUGAUAGGUGAGGAUACAGUCCGAGAGCCCUGUCUCCCCUGGAGAAGACUACCUGUCUCUGCUAUCCACAGGGGUUUUUAAAGGAGUUUUGCAGAGCCAGAUUAUCUUCAACCUGAAAAAAUUCAGAGGCUCAGUGCUAAAUAGAACUGUGAAGGGCCAGAGAGGCUGCCAUGGCAGACUCAUGCCCUUGUGGGCAGAUGGCCCUGCUCAGUGCUGGGUCUGCAGUCCCUCGACUGCUCCCAGAGAGGACAGCCCUGGUGCAGAUACAGGAAGUGAGAGGCUGCUGGUCUCACAAAGCCAUGGCCAGACUGGGGAAACCAACAAAGUGGUUGGUGGGGGCAACUGGGAGCUGCUGAACCCUCAUCAUGUGGUUAAAGUCAGUUCUUGAUGAUUCCUGGCAACAGGCGGGGCACCUGGAUACCCUUUGGUGCCAGCUCUAUAGCCAAGGGCUUGGUGAGUCCCAGCAGUGCAGUUUUGCUGGUGGUAUAGGCCUCCAGCAUCUAAGAAGGAAAUGAAAUGGAUAAGGUGCACUGCGCUGGAGGAGAGGGGCUCUUGCUAGACCCCCAAGGCUAUGGAGGAUGACUAUGCCUGCACUUACACCUGCACUCACACCAGCACUCACACCUGCACUCACAUGUUUCUCCCACUCCACUCCAGGAAAUUACCAGUGAACAAAAUCUGAGCAGGAGCGGAAUGAAGCCUGGGCUUAAAGAAAAGUCAGGAAGGCAGAGGCUGUGUUCACCCAUGCUUAGCCCAGAGAGAAUUGCUUAGGGUGCAGAGCCAGGGAAAUGCACUAAAGAGACCCAUGACCAGAUUCCUGCUCUACCAUGACUGGUCGCCCUUGGGCAAGUCACUUAUCAUCUCCAUGUCUCAAUCUCCUCCUCUGCCACAGGGAGUUUAUCAGGCCUGCUCUGUGACAGUCAUAGGAAUGUCAUGCAGGGACACUGAUAGCCUAUAGUGCCCCCUGGUGUAAAUUUUUUAAAAAAACUUUCUUCUGAGC
ensembl:lncRNA novel transcript